UAGGGAAUCUUCGGCAAUGGACGAAAGUCUGACCGAGCAACGCCGCGUGAGUGAAGAAGGUUUUCGGAUCGUAAAACUCUGUUGUUAGAGAAGAACAAGGACGUUAGUAACUGAACGUCCCCUGACGGUAUCUAACCAGAAAGCCACGGCUAACUACGUGCCAGCAGCCGCGGUAAUACGUAGGUGGCAAGCGUUGUCCGGAUUUAUUGGGCGUAAAGCGAGCGCAGGCGGUUUCUUAAGUCUGAUGUGAAAGCCCCCGGCUCAACCGGGGAGGGUCAUUGGAAACUGGGAGACUUGAGUGCAGAAGAGGAGAGUGGAAUUCCAUGUGUAGCGGUGAAAUGCGUAGAUAUAUGGAGGAACACCGGUGGCGAGGGCGGCUCUCUGGUCUGUAACUGACGCUGAGGCUCGAAAGCGUGGGGAGCAAACAGA
rnacentral:rRNA from 1 species